rnacentral:rRNA from 1 species
GUGAGGAAUAUUGGACAAUGGAGGAAACUCUGAUCCAGCCAUGCCGCGUGAGUGAUGAAGGCCUUCGGGUUGUAAAGCUCUUUCGGGUGUGAAAAUGAUGAUGGUAACACCAGAAGAAGCCCCGGCUAACUCCGUGCCAGCAGCCGCGGUAAUACGGAGGGGGCGAGCGUUGUUCGGAAUCACUGGGCGUAAAGCGUGCGUAGGCGGUUAUACAAGUCAGGAGUGAAAUCCCAGGGCUCAACCUUGGAAUUGCUUUUGAGACUGUAUGACUAGAGAUCUAGAGAGGUUGGGGGAAUUCCGAGUGUAGAGGUGAAAUUCGCAGAUAUUCGGAGGAACACCAGUGGCGUAGGCGCCCAACUGGCUAGAUACUGACGCUGAGGCACGAAAGCGUGGGGAGCAAACAGGAUUAGAUACCCCGGUAGUCC